rnacentral:rRNA from 1 species
GAUGAACGCUGGCGGCGUGCCUAAUACAUGCAAGUCGAGCGAACAGAUGAGGAGCUUGCUCCUCUGACGUUAGCGGCGGACGGGUGAGUAACACGUGGAUAACCUACCUAUAAGACUGGGAUAACUUCGGGAAACCGGAGCUAAUACCGGAUAAUAUAUUGAACCGCAUGGUUCAAUAGUGAAAGACGGUUUUGCUGUCACUUAUAGAUGGAUCCGCGCCGCAUUAGCUAGUUGGUAAGGUAACGGCUUACCAAGGCAACGAUGCGUAGCCGACCUGAGAGGGUGAUCGGCCACACUGGAACUGAGACACGGCCCAGACGCCUACGGGAGGCAGCAGUAGGGAAUCUUCCGCAAUGGGCGAAAGCCUGACGGAGCAACGCCGCGUGAGUGAUGAAGGUCUUCGGAUCGUAAAACUCUGUUAUUAGGGAAGAACAAAUGUGUAAGUAACUAUGCACGUCUUGACGGUACCUAAUCAGAAAGCCACGGCUAACUACGUG